rnacentral:rRNA from 1 species
GGGCCCGCACAAGCGGUGGAGCAUGUGGUUUAAUUCGAUGCAACGCGAAGAACCUUACCUGCCCUUGACAUACAACGAACCCUGAAGAGAUUUGGGGUGCCGCAAGGAGCGUUGAUACAGGUGCUGCAUGGCUGUCGUCAGCUCGUGUCGUGAGAUGUUGGGUUAAGUCCCGUAACGAGCGCAACCCUUAUUCUUAGUUACCAUCAGGUCGAGCUGGGUACUUUAAGAAGACUGCCGGUGACAAACCGGAGGAAGGCGGGGACGACGUCAAGUCAUCAUGGCCCUUAUGGGCAGGGCUACACACGUGCUACAAUGGUUGGUACAGAGGGAAGCAAAGCGGCGACGUGGAGCAAAACUCACAAAGCCAAUCGUAGUCCGGAUUGAGGUCUGCAACUCGACCUCAUG